rnacentral:rRNA from 1 species
UACGGGGGGAGCAAGCGUUGUUCGGAUUUACUGGGCGUAAAGGGCGCGUAGGCGGCCAGUGCAAGUCAGUUGUGAAAUCUCCGAGCUUAACUCGGAAAGGUCAACUGAUACUGCUCGGCUAGAGUGCGGAAGGGGCAACUGGAAUUCUUGGUGUAGCGGUGAAAUUCGUAGAUAUUCGGAAGAACACCAGUGGCGAAGGCGACACACUGGCCCGUUACUGACGCUGAGGCGCGAAAGCGUGGGGAGCAAACAGG